rnacentral:rRNA from 1 species
AAGGGCACCACAAGAACGCGUGGAGCAUGUGGCUUAAUUUGACUCAACGCGGGAAAUCUUACCGGGUCCGGACACACUGAGGAUUGACAGGCAAUCUUGCGAGUGCGCUGAGCUUUAGUUUUACCAGCUAUUGCCGAGCUGCUCGCAUCUAAAUACGCUAGUCCUUUCAUGAUUAUGUGAUAGGUGGUGCAUGGCCGUUCUUAGUUCGUGGAGUGAUCUGUCUGCUUAAUUGCGUUUCGACGGGACUUGAUAAUCAAGUGUGCUAUUUCUCUUGUGCCACCAACGAGCACGACUCGGUGCGCUUAUGACUGCGAGUGUUUACCCCGGCUUUAGUGUAUCUGCCUGCGAAGCGCCCUCUCGGCGUGGGAGCUGGGUGGGACGCGUUGCUGGCGUUAUCUCGCGCGGCCUCGGAGCCUUGCCACCGCUUUCGGAGGCGCGUUUGGGGAGGUAUGUGC